rnacentral:lncRNA from 1 species
CAAGGAGCGUACCCUCAAUUUGAAAUAGCAAGCUUACAGAAACAGUCAAAGGACGCCCAGGUCUAAAGCUUCUGGAUUAACAAUUCGUCAGCUGUCGAAGCACGACCAUGCUACGUGCUAGUACAUCGGAGAAAGCAUACAGCGUAUUGCUUGCUAAUCCCACAAUGCUAUCAUCUGGGCUGUAGCUAUAAAGGACAGUCUUAGGUGUUUCUUGUAAGAGCAGACCUGACACGGACACUAGGCAUGAUAGGCGAACUACCAUUACAUUUGUACGUAUUGUCAGAGGCAAGUAAGGCCUUUCAGCGGCGUUCAAGAGGCAAGCAACAUGUCACCACCCAGUUCAUCAAUGGCUUUGUCGAGCUUGGACAGCAUAUCUAGGGGAAGCA